rnacentral:tRNA from 1 species
CAGAGAGUAGUUUAAAAUUAAUAAAAUAUUAAUUUUGGAAAUUAAUGAAAAGUAUUAACUUUUCUCUG